CUUGGCUCAGGAUGAACGCUAGCGACAGGCCUAACACAUGCAAGUCGAGGGGCAGCACAAGGAGCAAUCUGAGGUGGCGACCGGCGGCACGGGUGAGUAACACGUAUGCAACCUGCCUGUAAGCGGGGAAUAACCCGUUGAAAGACGGACUAAUACCGCAUAAUACUAAAUUACUGCAUGGUAAUUUAUUUAAACAUUUAUGGCUUACAGAUGGGCAUGCGCAUGAUUAGCUAGUUGGAGAGGUAACGGCUCCCCAAGGCAACGAUCAUUAGGGGUUCUGAGAGGAAGGUCCCCCACACUGGUACUGAGACACGGACCAGACUCCUACGGGAGGCAGCAGUGAGGAAUAUUGGUCAAUGGACGAGAGUCUGAACCAGCCAAGUCGCGUGCAGGAAGAAUUGUCCUAUGGACUGUAAACUGCUUUUGCAGGGGAAUAAAGUGCAUCACGUGUGAUGUUUUGUAUGUACUCUGCGAAUAAGGAUCGGCUAACUCCGUGCCAGCCGCCGC
rnacentral:rRNA from 1 species